UUUUGUAGUUAAUUUUGUAACGGUGGUUUUUCAGGCCACAGUUCUCGGAGAGAGGCCGAGCAGGAACU
rnacentral:tRNA from 1 species